GGGGAAUAUUGCACAAUGGGCGCAAGCCUGAUGCAGCGACGCCGCGUGGGGGAUGACGGCCUUCGGGUUGUAAACCUCUUUCGUCAGGGAAGAAGCCUUUGGGUGACGGUACCUGGAGAAGAAGCACCGGCUAACUACGUGCCAGCAGCCGCGGUAAUACGUAGGGUGCGAGCGUUGUCCGGAAUUAUUGGGCGUAAAGAGCUUGUAGGCGGUUUGUCGCGUCUGCGGUGAAAACUCACAGCUUAACUGUGGGCGUGCCGUGGGUACGGGCAGACUAGAGUGUGGUAGGGGAGACUGGAAUUCCUGGUGUAGCGGUGAAAUGCGCAGAUAUCAGGAGGAACACCGAUGGCGAAGGCAGGUCUCUGGGCCAUAACUGACGCUGAGAAGCGAAAGCAUGGGGAGCGAAC
rnacentral:rRNA from 1 species